GAUGAACGCUGGCGGCGUGCCUAAUACAUGCAAGUCGAGCGGACAGACGAGGAGCUUGCUCCUCUGACGUUAGCGGCGGACGGGUGAGUAACACGUGGAUAACCUACCUAUAAGACUGGGAUAACUUCGGGAAACCGGAGCUAAUACCGGAUAAUAUAUUGAACCGCAUGGUUCAACAGUGAAAGACGGUUUUGCUGUCACUUAUAGAUGGAUCCGCGCCGCAUUAGCUAGUUGGUAAGGUAACGGCUUACCAAGGCAACGAUGCGUAGCCGACCUGAGAGGGUGAUCGGCCACACUGGAACUGAGACACGGUCCAGACUCCUACGGGAGGCAGCAGUAGGGAAUCUUCCGCAAUGGGCGAAAGCUUGACGGAGCAACGCCGCGUGAGUGAUGAAGGUCUUCGGAUCGUAAAACUCUGUUAUUAGGGAAGAACAAAUGUGUAAGUAACUAUGCACGUCUUGACGGUACCUAAUCAGAAAGCCACGGCUAACUACGUG
rnacentral:rRNA from 1 species